GACGAACCGUCCAAACGUUAUUCGGUAUCACUGGGCUUAAAGCGUUCGUAGGCGGCCUAGUAGGUGAGAUGUGAAAGCCCACGGCUCAACCGUGGAACAGCGUUUCAAACCACUAGGCUCGAGGAUGGCAGGGGUAAUGGGAACUGAUGGUGGAGCGGUGAAAUGCGUUGAUAUCAUCAGGAACACCGGUGGCGAAAGCGCAUUACUGGGCCAUUUCUGACGCUGAGGAACGAAAGCUAGGGUAGCGAACGGGAUUAGAAACCCCCGUAGUCC
rnacentral:rRNA from 1 species